AGUGAACGCUGGCGGUAGGCCUAACACAUGCAAGUCGAACGGCAGCACAGUAAGAGCUUGCUCUUACGGGUGGCGAGUGGCGGACGGGUGAGGAAUACAUCGGAAUCUACUUUUUCGUGGGGGAUAACGUAGGGAAACUUACGCUAAUACCGCAUACGACCUACGGGUGAAAGCAGGGGAUCUUCGGACCUUGCGCGAUUGAAUGAGCCGAUGUCGGAUUAGCUAGUUGGCGGGGUAAAGGCCCACCAAGGCGACGAUCCGUAGCUGGUCUGAGAGGAUGAUCAGCCACACUGGAACUGAGACACGGUCCAGACUCCUACGGGAGGCAGCAGUGGGGAAUAUUGGACAAUGGGCGCAAGCCUGAUCCAGCCAUGCCGCGUGGGUGAAGAAGGCCUUCGGGUUGUAAAGCCCUUUUGUUGGGAAAGAAAAGCAGCAGGUUAAUACCCCGCUGUUCGGACGGUACCCAAAGAAUAAGCACCGGCGAACUUCGU
rnacentral:rRNA from 1 species